UACGAAGGUUGCAAGCGUUACUCGGAAUUACUAGGCGUAAAGGGCAGGUAGGUGGUUUGAUAAGUCUAUUGUGAAAGCUCCCGGCUUAACUGGGAGAGGCCAAUGGAUACUGUCAGACUUGAGUAUAGGAGAGGUUACUGGAAUUCCCGGUGUAGCGGUGAAAUGCGCAGAGAUCGGGAGGAACACCAAUGGCGAAAGCAGGUAACUGGACUAUUACUGACACUCAACUGCGAAAGCUAGGGGAGCAAACAGG
rnacentral:rRNA from 1 species